UGGCUCAGUGGAAGAGCGCUUGCCUUGCAUGCAAGAGGCCCUGGGUUCGAUUCCUCA
rnacentral:tRNA from 1 species